CCUACGGGAGGCAGCAGUGAGGAAUAUUGGUCAAUGGGCGCGAGCCUGAACCAGCCAAGUAGCGUGAAGGAUGACUGCCCUACGGGUUGUAAACUUCUUUUAUAAAGGAAUAAAGUGAGGCCCGUGUGCCUUUUUGUAUGUACUUUAUGAAUAAGCAUCGGCUAACUCCGUGCCAGUAGCCGCGGUACUACGGAGGAUCCGAGCGUUAUCCGGAUUUAUUGGGUUUAACGGGAGCGUAGAUGGGUUGGUAAGUCAGUUGUGAAAGUUUGCGGCUCAACCGUAAAAUUGCAAUUGAUACUGGUAGCCUUGAGUACAGUGGAGGUAGGCGGAAUUCGUGGUGUAGCGGUGAAAUGCUUAGAUAUCACGAAGAACUCCGAUUGCGAAGGCAGCCUACUAGACUGCCACUGACAUUGAUGCUCGAAAGUGUGGGUAUCAAACAGGAUUAGAUACCCGAGUAGUC
rnacentral:rRNA from 1 species